UACAGAGGGGGCAAGCGUUGUUCGGAAUUACUGGGCGUAAAGGGCGCGUAGGCGGCCUGCUAAGUCGAACGUGAAAUCCCCGGGCUCAACCCGGGAACUGCGUCCGAUACUGGCAGGCUUGAAUCCGGGAGAGGGAUGUGGAAUUCCUGGUGUAGCAGUGAAAUGCGUAGAUAUCAGGAGGAAUACCGAUGGCGAAGGCAGGUCUCUGGGCUGACACUGACGCUCAUGCACGAAAGCGUGGGGAGCAAACAGG
rnacentral:rRNA from 1 species